CGAGAGGUGUCGCGCUGCUGUUGGUGUCGGCGCUAUCCACCCCAACACUCAUGCCCCACCGCCGACCACAACCACGACGCCCCACCUCCUCGCCGUCUCCUCCGCAGCUCUGCCCCCUUCCCAAUCUUCCCAACAUCGAUUUUGGCAAGUACGCGGCCGAGCACCGACGCCGUCAUUGCCCCGACGCCUCCGCUGCCCUCUAGUUUCCUGCAGCAGCCUUACCCCCACCCCGUCCUCAUAGCCGUCUCCUCUGCGCCGUCCCCGCCUCUUCCAACGCCGAUCUCCGCAAGUACGCUGUUGGCUGCGUGCUGCUCAUCCACGGCGGCGCCGCCACCACCUACUGCUAUUCUCCCCCGACACGCUCCACGGCUUGUUCUGUUGUGAUGAUUGAGGUGGAGCUUCGUAUGGAACUUCACUGUACUUGAUUCUGUGGUGGAUCAGCUUGUUUUAGAGGAAUUGGUUAGACAGAAAUUCUCCAAGCUAGGUCAAAAAGAUAUUCGAUAAGCUUAGGAGUUUCCCGGAGAAACCCUUGGAUUUAGUGUGAAGCUGAAGAAGUACAAGGUCAAGAAAGAAGCAGGUCUUACGCCCCAAAUUUUACAACCCUCGUGCCAACAAUGUGCUAAAGGAAAACAAAAAGGUCCAACGAGAAGUCGGUAUAUGAUCUAAAUGUUUGGCUUAUAGGAAGGAUUUCAUUGGUUGGAAACCGCAUGUUUGAUUGUGCUAGAUGUGUACCUACCAACUACUAUAACAUCGAUUUGAUCAAUGUCUUGGUACAUUCUUGUGUUUUUUGUAUCUUUUGUGAUUCCGCAACUAUAUGACAUCGAUUUGAUCAAUGUCUCGGUACAUUCUUAUGUUUUUUUAUUCUUUUGUGAUUCCGUAGCGUAGCACGGGCAUCUUACUAGUCAUGAAUUUAAAUUCAUUCAAGUACCUACAAGGGUUAGAUAGCAUGCAAGGGUGCAAAUAUAUCCAAGACAUAUAGAUAGCAU